ACAUGUUCAUACAAAAUUAGUCGAAUACGUCAGUUGGGUAUUUUGGUGUGAUAAACAUAAGUUAUUUUUCGCAAUAUACCCUUUUUAUAUAUAACCUAGGAACUCCGUAAAAAAAUAUCUUGUGAAUCAAUAUCAAAUAUCUACACUUCGUCAUCAAUAGAAUAUAAUAUCAUGAAGCAUAAGAUUUUUAUUUUGGUAAUUUAUGUAGCAGUUUCUUUGGGAAAAUCUAUUGACACUGCAAUGAGGCUACAAAAGAUUUUUAAUAGUAAAAUUUUUCUUUUUGAUGAAAAUGAUAAUUCAAUUUCACAUCCAUAUUCUGAAUUCAUUGUAACUAGCUAUUAUAACUUUACUGAUCACUCCACUUAUCAAAAAAAUACAAAAGAUUAUGACUGUUGCCAUGAUAACAGUGUUACUUUUAGUAAUACAGUAAAAACCGAAAAACAAGGCAAAUUUGUAAAAGAUAUAAAUUAUAUUUAUCCAAAUAUAUCAUAUUCGAAUUUCAUGCAAACUAUUAAGAAUGGCGUAGAUACACUUUACGAUGAAGACAUUUACAUGCCUGAAUUUAAAAAAUAUCAUUUUAGAUUAAGAAAUAAACUAACAAUUCCAAAAACGUUUUAUGACAAAGAUAUUAGUUAUACUUCGCAUAAAAUUUGUGGAUAUUAUUGUUAUACCAAGUAUGUGUCUGGUAAACGGUUUCAACUUAUUUGUGAUUAUUUACAGUACAGAAUUGAAGAUACGUCAGAUGGUUCAACAUUAAAUGUAAUUGAAUGAAAACACUUUAAUUAAUUAUUUUAUAUUUUGUAAAAUGUAUUAUAUGAUUCAUAAAUAUUGUAAUGUAUAAUGUUUUAAUGAUAUAAUUUGUUUUAAAUAAAUCAUCAGGACACUCCA